rnacentral:rRNA from 1 species
UAUCCCGGGUUUUUUCAACAGUAAUAGCGGAGGAAGAGCCACCGGGAUUCCCUGAGUAAGGGCGACUGAAAGGGGAUGAGCCCAGCGCAUAACCUCGCGGUCGUGUUGUGGCCGUCGAGGGGUGUUGCGUUUCGGUGGAUCCGUACCGCUCGAGUUGCUGACCGCCUAAGUCAUUGCUUGAAUGCAGCCCCGAGGAGGGUGGUAGGCCCGUGUGGCGGCGCCUGUAAAAAGGUCCGAGGCAACUUGGGCGGAGGGGUCUUUACCGUAGAGUCGGGUUGCUUAGUACUGCAGCCCUAAGUAGGUGGUAAACUCCAUCUAAGGCUAAAUACUACCACGAGUCCGAUAUUUGACAAGUACCGUGAGGGAAAGCUGAAAAGGACUCUGAAGAGAGAGUUCAAGAGGACGUGAAACCAUUAGAAGCUGAAACGGGUGGAACCGUGAAGGUGGAAAGAGGGGAUUCAGGCUGUGGGCGCGCGGUGGGGCGCUAGGUUGGCUAUUGGUACAGGACCCGGCGUACGAAUGAGUUGCCGCGGCCCCUGUCGCCUUUAGCCGCGGGCCGGCGGGCUUAGUUCUCCCUCGAGUACGAGUCGUGGCAUUCCGCUAGCCGGACCCCGAAGGCUCACGCGGACUGGUAGCCCGCACCUCGCGUGCGGGUGAUGACCGUGCGGAGUACUGGCUGGGUUUGGGCGGCGGUCACUGCAAGGAGGCGGCAGCUCCUGCCGCCUCUCGCCAUGGAGAGGGCGGAAUCCACCUGAUCGUC